rnacentral:rRNA from 1 species
AGCGAACGCUGGCGGCAGGCUUAACACAUGCAAGUCGAGCGGGCAUCUUCGGAUGUCAGCGGCAGACGGGUGAGUAACACGUGGGAACGUACCCUUCGGUUCGGAACAACUCUGGGUAACUGGAGCUAAUACCGGAUACGCCCUUAUGGGGAAAGGUUUACUGCCGAAGGAUCGGCCCGCGUCUGAUUAGCUAGUUGGUGGGGUAACGGCCUACCAAGGCGACGAUCAGUAGCUGGUCUGAGAGGAUGAUCAGCCACACUGGGACUGAGACACGGCCCAGACUCCUACGGGAGGCAGCAGUGGGGAAUAUUGGACAAUGGGCGCAAGCCUGAUCCAGCCAUGCCGCGUGAGUGAUGAAGGCCUUAGGGUUGUAAAGCUCUUUUGUCCGGGACGAUAAUGACGGUACCGGAAGAAUAAGCCCCGGCUAACUUCGUG